GUAGGAAACUGGAUGGAUCAAUCAAUUGAAGAGGUGUUUCAUAUCCAAAACUCGGAUAAUCCGGUAUCUUGUUGGUGAGUGUGCCGCUAAAUGGAUUGAAUUAUCUCGCCUAGAGUCGCUCAAUGGUCAUCGCGUUAUGUGCGAAGGACAAGAUGGGUUUCAUAAUUGGGAAGGUUGAGAAGCCACCAAAAGAUUAUCCUCUAUUUGAGAAAUGGAGGCGCACAAAUUAUAUGGUAAUUUCUUGGAUCUUGAGUGCUAUUUCGAAAGAUUUAGUUGAAUCGUUCUUGUGUGCAUCUUCGGCUAAAGAUUUGUGGAAUGAAAUAGAACAAAAGUUUGAUGAUAGUAAUGGGUCACUUUUAUAUCAUAUUAAACAUGAAAUUUG
rnacentral:misc_RNA from 1 species